AGGACUGGCAACCCAAAGUAGAGCACUUCAAGGUUAAAGGGCCACUAAUGGCCAAAGAGCGGAGGAAAGGCAGGGGCAGGGGAGGGGCUGUGAACUCUGGAGCUGAAGCACAGGGCACAGCACAGCCGUGGGCCUCCAGCAAGAGUGGCAGACUACACACGCCACAUUAGAUCCCUUUCACAACGCUCUGGAUGACAUGAAGAUUAAGGAAGACAUUUUUGUGGGUGUGAAUUCAGAGAAAACAAACAGGAGGCUGCUCAGCAUUUCUCAGAUGCUUUUGCACCUGUGUCCGGGACAAGAGCCAGCCAGAAUGCACUUUUAAAUGAGAAAGCUGUAAUCAUCAGACAUCACUUACCUAGAUCCCCGAGAGAGAGGCAUUAAAUUGUAGAAGUAAUAAACCAAGGAUAAGAUCAAGUUGCAGACAGCAUCAGCCUCCUGGAAAAGGACACAGGCUCGUGAACUGAAGGCCAGCCCGACCGACACUCCGCAGGCGUGAGGGCUGCCGAAUCAGGAAAGGUGGUCCACGGUCCUCCUCUAAGAUCUGCCCUCAGUCCUCCAGCAAGAAGGAUUCCAGGAAGAAGGAGGCAGGUGGAGGUGGCACCCCCACACUCCUAGCAGGCAUGCAGAGGCCUCUCUCCUUCCCUCUGUGUCCCAGAUGAGCUGUGGCCAGGCGGGAGCAUCCCAAAGACCGUCACAUGUGAUGAUGUGUUUCUCACUCAGAUCACGUGAUGUGGAAAUUGACCAUAUUACCAUCUGAAAGUGACAGCAACAUCUACAACCCAGAGCUUCAAAAUGCCAGGUUCAAAAUGAUGACUUCGAAGGACUAAGGACUUCCUGGCCAACAGGUUAUACCCAGGGUGCUCAAGAUGCUGAUGUGACACACAGUUGCCUAGGUCUCAGGGACCACCCACCUGCUGCCUAGGUCCUGGGGACUACCCACCAGCACACAAAUGCCCACCCAAGGCAGAAUGACCCUCUCUUGGGUAAGAAACGUAUCUUCUAUAACAUCCUGCUCCAGGCCUCUUCCUCAAUCUCCCCGUGCCCCAUGACCAUGACUUACCUGUAGGCCUGCCCCAGGCUUUUAUAUGCAUCAAUAAAAUCAACUUUCUGCUUCAGAGCUU